GCGGCAGCUACACAUGCAGUCGAGCGGGGGAAGGUAGCUUGCUACCGGACCUAGCGGCGGACGGGUGAGUAAUGCUUAGGAAUCUGCCUAUUAGUGGGGGACAACAUCUCGAAAGGGAUGCUAAUACCGCAUACGUCCUACGGGAGAAAGCAGGGGAUCUUCGGACCUUGCGCUAAUAGAUGAGCCUAAGUCGGAUUAGCUAGUUGGUGGGGUAAAGGCCUACCAAGGCGACGAUCUGUAGCGGGUCUGAGAGGAUGAUCCGCCACACUGGGACUGAGACACGGCCCAGACUCCUACGGGAGGCAGCAGUGGGGAAUAUUGGACAAUGGGGGGAACCCUGAUCCAGCCAUGCCGCGUGUGUGAAGAAGGCCUUAUGGUUGUAAAGCACUUUAAGCGAGGAGGAGGCUACUUUAGUUAAUACCUUUAGAUAGUGGACGUUACUCGCAGAAUAAGCACCGGCUAACUCGGUGCCAGCAGCCGCGGUAAUACAGAGGGUGCGAUACGGCAAUGGUACUUACUGGGCGUAAAGCGUGCGUAGGGGGCUUAUUAAGUCGGAUGUGAAAUCCCCGAGCUUAACUUGGGAAUUGCAUUCCAUACUGAUGAGACUAGAUUAUGGUCAGAAGGAUGGUUGAAUUUUAUUUUGUAGCGGUGAAAAUGCGUAGAGAUCUGGAGGAAUACCCGAUGGCGAAAGCAGCCCAUCUGGGCCCUAAUACUGACGCUGAGGUACCGAAGCAUGGGGAGCAAACAAGGAUUAGAUUACCCCUGGGUAGUCCAUGCCCGUAAACGAUGUUCUUACUAGCCGUUGGGG
rnacentral:rRNA from 1 species